rfam:Cajanus cajan Scaffold126026_14, whole genome shotgun sequence.
GCCUAUAUGUUGCCUUUAUCUGCAUUUGCACCUGCACUUUACUCAGUUUCUCUGUAACAUAUAUAAGAACACAUGUCAGUUCAGAAAGAAGUGAAAUGUAUAUAGGAAUAGAGGAACUGAGAAUGAGGUGCAGGUACAUCUGCAGGUGAAUGCCAUAUUGGC